UUCUCUCUUUUCUUCACUCCCUCCUUCCCCUCCCCGCCCCAUCUGUUAUAGGCUUGCGGAGCUGUGGCUGUUUGAAAUUAAACGUGAUCUUUACUGUACCAGCUGGGGUCUGUAAUGUAUCUGAAGGAGUCUAGCCUUGGCCACCGAGAUGAGUGGGGUUUGACCCCGUCAGUAGGAUGCUGCUUCUUCCGCAGAGCUGGAUGGAAAACCCUAAGUUUCACACUCUUUGGAGGGCACCUGAAUUUGGGAUGAAGAGCGAGUGUCUGCAUUUCUGCUCAUGCUUAGACCUUAUAUGGCACCCUUGAAAGAGGUGGAUUUCCUAUUUUGUGAAGGCAGAGAUCAAUGACCAGUUUGUGUUUUCUGUGUUCUCAAUAUGCAAAACUUGUAUGUGUGAUCUUAAGUGCUCUUGUUUGAAUGGUAAAAAAAUCCUGAACAUUAAUCUAAAAAAAGUCAAAAUAUGUAAUUAACACUUAUGUUGAUAAGAUUGUCUUUUUACAGUAUAGUUGGCUAAUUAUAUUGCUUGGUGCUAACAAUUUUUUAGGUGAACUUCUGAGGUAUUUUUCCUAUGUAUUUUAACUGGAAUUAUUUGUGAAAAGCAAACCAAUUAGUCUGCUACUGUGAAUUAUUUGAAAUUGCUGGUAUUUUUAUAGUGAUGACUAAGAGUAUCUUUUUUAUAUUAAUUUUAGUGUGUUGAUUACUUUAUUACAAUGGCUUAAACUUGGAAUACAUUAAAACAUUUACAAUAAAUGUGCAUAACUGUCUCUUA